rnacentral:rRNA from 1 species
CCUACGGGAGUCAGCAGUGAGGAAUAUUGGUCAAUGGGCGCGAGCCUGAACCAGCCAAGUAGCGUGAAGGAUGACUGCCCUACGGGUUGUAAACUUCUUUUAUAAAGGAAUACAGUUAGGCACGUGUGCCUUUUUGUAUGUACUUUAUGAAUAAGGAUCGGCUAACUCCAUGCCAGCAGCCGCGGUAAUACGGAGGAUCCGCGCGUUAUCCGGAUGUAUUGGGUUUAAAGGGAGCGUAGAUGGGUUGUUAAGUCAGUUGUGAAAGUUAGCGGCUCAACAGUAAAAUUGCAAUUGAUACUGGCAGCCGUGAGUACAGGUGAGGUAGGCGGAAUUCGUGGUGUAGCGGUGAAAUGCUUAGAUAUCACGAAGAACUCCGAUUGCGAAGGCAGCUUACUAAACUGCCACUGACAUUGAGGCUCGAAAGUGUGGGUAUCAAACAGGAUUAGAUACCCGGGUAGUC